CGGGUGAGUAACACGUGGGUGAUCUGCCCUGCACUUCGGGAUUAAGCUUGGGAAACUGGGUCUAAUACCGGAUAGGAGCCAUCUUUAGUGUGGUGGUUGGAAAGUUUUUCGGUGUAGGAUGAGCUCGCGGCCUAUCAGCUUGUUGGUGGGGUAAUGGCCUACCAAGGCGGCGACGGGUAGCCGGCCUGAGAGGGUGUACGGCCACAUUGGGACUGAGAUACGGCCCAG
rnacentral:rRNA from 1 species